rnacentral:rRNA from 1 species
CCCCUAGAUGUUCUGGGCCGCACGCGCGCUACACUGAACAGUUCAACAAGUCUUAACCUUGGCCGAUAGGUCUGGGUAAUCUUUGAACGCUGUUCGUGAUUGGGAUAGACCUUUGCAAUUAUGGGUCUUCAACGAGGAAUUCCUAGUAAACGCAAGUCAUCAGCUUGCAUUGAUUACGUCCCUGCCCUUUGUACACACCGCCCGUCGCACCUACCGAUUGAAUGGUCCGGUGAAUCUUUAGGACUGUGGCUGAGGCCUUGCCUUGUGCGGGUCUGGCCGUGGGAAUUUAGUUAAACCUUNCNAUUUACNGGAAGGUGAANUCGUANCA